rnacentral:rRNA from 1 species
GACGAACUUUGGCGGCGUGCUUAACACAUGCAAGUCGAACGGAAAGGCCCUGCUUUUGUGGGGUGCUCGAGUGGCGAACGGGUGAGUAACACGUGAGUAACCUGCCCUUGACUUUGGGAUAACUUCAGGAAACUGGGGCUAAUACCGGAUAGGAGCUCCUGCUGCAUGGUGGGGGUUGGAAAGUUUCGGCGGUUGGGGAUGGACUCGCGGCUUAUCAGCUUGUUGGUGGGGUAGUGGCUUACCAAGGCUUUGACGGGUAGCCGGCCUGAGAGGGUGACCGGCCACAUUGGGACUGAGAUACGGCCCAGACUCCUACGGGAGGCAGCAGUGGGGAAUAUUGCACAAUGGGCGGAAGCCUGAUGCAGCAACGCCGCGUGCGGGAUGACGGCCUUCGGGUUGUAAACCGCUUUCGCCUGUGACGAAGCGUGAGUGACGGUAAUGGGUAAAGAAGCACCGGCUAACUACGUGCCAGCAGCCGCGGUGAUACGUAGGGUGCGAGCGUUGUCCGGAUUUAUUGGGCGCAAAGGGCUCGUAGGUGGUUGAUCGCGUCGGAAGUGUAAUCUUGGGGCUUAACCCUGAGCGUGCUUUCGAUACGGGUUGACUUGAGGAAGGUAGGGGAGAAUGGAAUUCCUGGUGGAGCGGUGGAAUGCGCAGAUAUCAGGAGGAACACCAGUGGCGAAGGCGGUUCUCUGGGCCUUUCCUGACGCUGAGGAGCGAAAGCGUGGGGAGCGAACAGGCUUAGAUACCCUGGUAGUCCACGCUGUAAACGGUGGGUACUAGGUGUGGGGUCCAUUCCACGGGUUCCGUGCCGUAGCUAACGCUUUAAGUACCCCGCCUGGGGAGUACGGCCGCAAGGCUAAAACUCAAAGGAAUUGACGGGGCCCCGCACAAGCGGCGGAGCAUGCGGAUUAAUUCGAUGCAACGCGUAGAACCUUACCUGGGUUUGACAUGGAUCGGGAGUGCUCAGAGAUGGGUGUGCCUCUUUUGGGGUCGGUUCACAGGUGGUGCAUGGCUGUCGUCAGCUCGUGUCGUGAGAUGUUGGGUUAAGUCCCGCAACGAGCGCAACCCUUGUUCACUGUUGCCAGCACGUUAUGGUGGGGACUCAGUGGAGACCGCCGGGGUCAACUCGGAGGAAGGUGGGGAUGACGUCAAGUCAUCAUGCCCCUUAUGUCCAGGGCUUCACGCAUGCUACAAUGGCUGGUACAGAGAGUGGCGAGCCUGUGAGGGUGAGCGAAUCUCGGAAAGCCGGUCUCAGUUCGGAUUGGGGUCUGCAACUCGACCUCAUGAAGUCGGAGUCGCUAGUAAUCGCAGAUCAGCAACGCUGCGGUGAAUACGUUCCCGGGGCU